AUUGAACGCUGGCGGCAUGCUUUACACAUGCAAGUCGAACGGCAGCGCGGGCUUCUUCCUGGCGGCGAGUUGCGAACGGGUGAGUAAUGCAUCGGAACGUGCCCAGUAGUUGGGGAUAGCCCGGCGAAAGCCGGCUUAAUACCGCAUACGACCUGAUGUUGAAAGCGGGGGACCGAUAGGCCUCGCGCGAUUUGAUCUGCCGAUGUCGGAUUAGCUAGUUGGUGGGGUAAAGGCUUACCAAGGCGACGAUCCGUAGCUGGUCUGAGAGGACGACCAGCCACACUGGGACUGAGACACGGCCCAGACUCCUACGGGAGGCAGCAGUGGGGAAUUUUGGACAAUGGGGGAAAGCCUGAUCCAGCAAUGCCGCGUGAGGGAAGAAGGCCUUCGGGUUGUAAAACGCUUUUGUUCGGGAAGAAAUACUCUGGGCUAAUACCCCGGGGGGAUGACGGUACCGGAAGAAUAAGCACCGGCUAACUACGUG
rnacentral:rRNA from 1 species